GACGAACGCUGGCGGCGUGCCUAAUACAUGCAAGUCGAGCGGACGGAUGGGAGCUUGCUCCCAGACCGUCAGCGGCGGACGGGUGAGUAACACGUGGGCAACCUGCCUGUAAGACUGGGAUAACUCCGGGAAACCGGGGCUAAUACCGGAUAACUCUUUCCCUCACAUGAGGGAAAGCUGAAAGAUGGCAUCUCGCUAUCACUUACAGAUGGGCCCGCGGCGCAUUAGCUAGUUGGUGAGGUAACGGCUCACCAAGGCGACGAUGCGUAGCCGACCUGAGAGGGUGAUCGGCCACACUGGGGCUGAGACACGGCCCAGACUCCUACGGGAGGCAGCAGUAGGGAAUCUUCCGCAAUGGACGAAAGUCUGACGGAGCAACGCCGCGUGAGUGAUGAAGGUUUUCGGAUCGUAAAACUCUGUUGUCAGGGAAGAACAAGUACCGGAGUAACUGCCGGUACCUUGACGGUACCUGACCAGAAAGCCACGGCUAACUACGUG
rnacentral:rRNA from 1 species